GACGAACGCUGGCGGCGUGCUUAACACAUGCAAGUCGAACGGAAAGGCCCUGCUUUUGUGGGGUGCUCGAGUGGCGAACGGGUGAGUAACACGUGGGUAACCUGCCCUUGACUGUGGGAUAACUUCAGGAAACUGGGGCUAAUCCCGGAUAGGAGCUCCUGCUGCAUGGUGGGGGUUGGACAGUUUCGGCGGUUGGGGAUGGACUCGCGUCUUAUCAGCUUGUUGGUGGGGUAGUGUCUUACCAAGGCUUUGACGGGUAGCCGGCCUGAGAGGGUGACCGGACACAUUGGGACUGAGAUACGGCCCAGACUCCUACGGGAGGCAGCAGUGGGGAAGAGUGCACAAUGGGCGGAAGCCUGAUGCAGCAACGCCGCGUGCGGGAUGACGGGCUUCGGUUUGUAAACCGCUUUCGCUUGUGACGAAGCGUGAGUGACGGUAAUGGGUAAAGAAGCACCGGCUAACUACGUG
rnacentral:rRNA from 1 species